rnacentral:rRNA from 1 species
GUCUAUGGCCAUGCCACCCUGAAUGUGCCCGAUCUCAUCUGAUCUUGGAAACUAAGUAGGGUCGGGCCUUGUUAGUACUUGAAUGGGAGACCACCUAGGAAUACCAGAUGCUGUAGGUG